GAUGAGGCGUAUCUCACGCAGGU
rnacentral:miRNA from 1 species